rnacentral:rRNA from 1 species
AGGACGAACGCUGGCGGCGUGCCUAAUACAUGCAAGUCGAGCGAACCGAUGAAGAGCUUGCUCUCAAAGGUGAGCGGCGGACGGGUGAGUAACACGUGGGCAACCUGCCUGCAAGAUCGGGAUAACUCCGGGAAACCGGGGCUAAUACCGGAUGAUGCAUUUCGCUGCAUGGCGGAAUGCUAAAAGGCGGCUUCGGCUGUCACUUGCAGAUGGGCCCGCGGCGCAUUAGCUAGUUGGGGAGGUAACGGCUCCCCAAGGCGACGAUGCGUAGCCGACCUGAGAGGGUGAUCGGCCACACUGGGACUGAGACACGGCCCAGACUCCUACGGGAGGCAGCAGUAGGGAAUUUUCCGCAAUGGGCGCAAGCCUGACGGAGCAACGCCCGCGUGAGUGAGGACGGCUUUCGGGUUGUAAAACUCUGUUCUUCGGGAAGAACGGUGGUCGGGUGAAUAGCCCGAUUGCGUGACGGUACCGAAGGAGAAAGCCCCGGCUAACUACGUGCCAGCAGCGGC